GGUGACAUGGUCGAGUGGUAAGGUUGGGGACUACAAAUUCCUUAUUCCCUAGUUCAAAUCCAGGUGUCACCU
rfam:Gossypium hirsutum cultivar TM-1 chromosome 11, whole genome shotgun sequence